rnacentral:rRNA from 1 species
UACAGCGGCGCACGGGUGCGUAACACGUGAGUAAUCUGCCCUGGAGCCCGGAAUAACCUCCCGAAAGGGAAGCUAAUGCCGGAUGAGCCCACGGGGUCCUUGGACUCUGAGGGAAAAGGCGGCCUCUGUAUACAAGCUGUCACUUCAGGAUGAGCUCGCGGCCCAUCAGCUAGUUGGCGGGGUAAUGGCCCACCAAGGCUACGACGGGUAGCUGGUCUGAGAGGACGAUCAGCCACACUGGAACUGAGACACGGUCCAGACUCCUACGGGAGGCAGCAGUGGGGAAUCUUGCGCAGUGGGCGAAAGCCUGACGCAGCAACGCCGCGUGUGUGAUGAAGGUCUUCGGAUCGUAAAGCACUGUCGCGAGGGACG